AGAGUUUGAUCAUGGCUCAGAUUGAACGCUGGCGGCAGGCCUAACACAUGCAAGUCGAGCGGUAGCACAGAGAGCUUGCUCUCGGGUGACGAGCGGCGGACGGGUGAGUAAUGUCUGGGAAACUGCCUGAUGGAGGGGGAUAACUACUGGAAACGGUAGCUAAUACCGCAUAAUGUCGCAAGACCAAAGUGGGGGACCUUCGGGCCUCAUGCCAUCAGAUGUGCCCAGAUGGGAUUAGCUAGUAGGUGGGGUAACGGCUCACCUAGGCGACGAUCCCUAGCUGGUCUGAGAGGAUGACCAGCCACACUGGAACUGAGACACGGUCCAGACUCCUACGGGAGGCAGCAGUGGGGAAUAUUGCACAAUGGGCGCAAGCCUGAUGCAGCCAUGCCGCGUGUGUGAAGAAGGCCUUCGGGUUGUAAAGCACUUUCAGCGGGGAGGAAGGCGUUAAGGUUAAUAACCUUGGCGAUUGACGUUACCCGCAGAAGAAGCACCGGCUAACUCCGUGCCAGCAGCCGCGGUAAUACGGAGGGUGCAAGCGUUAAUCGGAAUUACUGGGCGUAAAGCGCACGCAGGCGGUCUGUCAAGUCGGAUGUGAAAUCCCCGGGCUUAACCUGGGAACUGCAUUCGAAACUGGCAGGCUAGAGUCUUGUAGAGGGGGGUAGAAUUCCAGGUGUAGCGGUGAAAUGCGUAGAGAUCUGGAGGAAUACCGGUGGCGAAGGCGGCCCCCUGGACAAAGACUGACGCUCAGGUGCGAAAGCGUGGGGAGCAAACAGGAUUAGAUACCCUGGUAGUCCACGCCGUAAACGAUGUCGAUUUGGAGGUUGUGCCCUUGAGGCGUGGCUUCCGGAGCUAACGCGUUAAAUCGACCGCCUGGGGAGUACGGCCGCAAGGUUAAAACUCAAAUGAAUUGACGGGGGCCCGCACAAGCGGUGGAGCAUGUGGUUUAAUUCGAUGCAACGCGAAGAACCUUACCUGGUCUUGACAUCCACAGAACUUUCCAGAGAUGGAUUGGUGCCUUCGGGAACUGUGAGACAGGUGCUGCAUGGCUGUCGUCAGCUCGUGUUGUGAAAUGUUGGGUUAAGUCCCGCAACGAGCGCAACCCUUAUCCUUUGUUGCCAGCGGUUCGGCCGGGAACUCAAAGGAGACUGCCAGUGAUAAACUGGAGGAAGGUGGGGAUGACGUCAAGUCAUCAUGGCCCUUACGACCAGGGCUACACACGUGCUACAAUGGCAUAUACAAAGAGAAGCGACCUCGCGAGAGCAAGCGGACCUCAUAAAGUAUGUCGUAGUCCGGAUUGGAGUCUGCAACUCGACUCCAUGAAGUCGGAAUCGCUAGUAAUCGUAGAUCAGAAUGCUACGGUGAAUACGUUCCCGGGCCUUGUACACACCGCCCGUCACACCAUGGGAGUGGGUUGCAAAAGAAGUAGGUAGCUUAACCUUCGGGAGGGCGCUUACCACUUUGUGAUUCAUGACUGGGGUGAAGUCGUAACAAGGUAACCGUAGGGGAACCUGCGGUUGGAUCACCU
rnacentral:rRNA from 2 species